CACGCAGUAAACGAUGAUUACUGGCUGUUUGCGAUACAAUGUAAGCGGCUGAGCGAAAGCGUUAAGUAAUCCACCUGGGGAGUACGUUCGCAAGAAUGAAACUCAAAGGAAUUGACGGGGGCCCGCACAAGCGGAGGAACAUGUGGUUUAAUUCGAUGAUACGCGAGGAACCUUACCCGGGCUUGAAAUGCGGUGGACCGGCGGAGAGAUCCGCCUUCCCUUCGGGGCCACCGUGUAGGUGC
rnacentral:rRNA from 1 species